AAUCUUCCGCAAUGGACGAAAGUCUGACGGAGCGACGCCGCGUGUACGAAGAAGGCCUUCGGGUUGUAAAGUACUGUUGUUGGGGAAGAAGACCUAGAGUGAGAAUAUCGCUGUAGGCUGACGGUACCCAACGAGGAAGCCCCGGCUAACUACGUGCCAGCAGCCGCGGUAAUACGUAGGGGGCGAGCGUUGUCCGGAAUUAUUGGGCGUAAAGGGCGCGUAGGCGGCCGUUUAAGUCUGAUGUGAAAGUGCGGUGCUUAACGCCGUAGAGCAUUGGAAACUGGACGGCUUGAGGGCAGGAGAGGAAAGUGGAAUUCCUAGUGUAGCGGUGAAAUGCGUAGAUCUUAGGAGGAACACCAGUGGCGAAGGCGACUUUCUGGACUGUUACUGACGCUGAGGCGCGAAAGCGUGGGGAGCAAACAGG
rnacentral:rRNA from 1 species